AGGGAAAGUUGCAAAGAACUUUCAAGAGAGAGUUCAAUAGAACGUGAAACCGUUUUGCAGGUAAACAGAUGGACCCACGAAGGCCUUGUCGAACAAGAGUCAUCAUUCGGAUUUUGUUCACCGUUUAUUUCUUUACGAGCUUUUCGAAGCAGACGGGAGAAGUAUCUGGUGCGCAUUUCGAUGCAUUUGCCAAUGUUCGCAAUGGAGCUCUCACUGUUUAAGCAUAUCGCAUUUCAAUUUGAUAGAUUGUAUUCAUUCUGUAAAGAGUGUAAUGAGUCUUUCAUGAUGUACUGUAAAUAUAUGUAUUUAAACAGGAGCAUUACUCAUUUAAUGAGUUUGCUGAUAUAUCGGUGCAACUUCAACUUCUUGACGUUGCAUAGGUUGAGUAAGUACGUAUAUGUCCCUUUGUUGGACAAUAACUUUGCUUGCUUUCACCUUUGCAUCACGACGGUGGUUGAAGUAUUAAGCAUUGAUUAUCUAGAGUGCAAUGUAGAUCGGUUAUCCAUCUGUCCCGUCUUGAAACA
rnacentral:rRNA from 1 species